UUAUGCUAAUCCGAUGCCAGGAGCUAGAAGCAUUUUCCUGGUCUCCCAUGCUGGUUCAGGGGCCCAAGGACUUGGGCCAUCUUCUACUGCAUUCCCAGUCCAUAGCAGUGAGCUGGAUUGUAAGUGGAGCUGCAGGGAUUCGAACUGGUGCCCAUAUGGGAUCCCGGCACUGUAGGCAAUGGCUUUACCCACUAAGCCACAGCAGCAGCCCCUGCAUUUCCUUAACCCAUGAGUUUGCUUCUCAUCGCUUUUGUGUAAUUCUAUGAUAAUUCUUUUGAAUUCCUUUUCAGGCAUUUCAUCAAUCUCUUCAUCUUUACAUUGUGAUAUUGCAGCAUUAUUGUGUUCCUUUGGGGGAGUCAUACUGUCUUCCUUGUUCUUGUUCCUCAUGUUUGAAAGUUAUUUUUAGGUAUUUGUAGAGCUACUUAUUAGUUUUCUCCUUUGAUGGAUUUUAUCUGUGAUGUGCCUCUGUGACAUAUUUCAGUCUCCACUCCUUCAGUGGAUAUUCAGAGGUGUGUACUGGGUGAGGCCAGGAAUCUCUGGUUAGUGUUUGAGAGUGGUAGAAGAGUCUAGGGUGACACCCACAUUGGGCAUGGUAGACCUCUAAGUUCAGUAGGGGGGAGGGUGUGAUCACAGUGGCUAGCGUGAUCACUUUCUCACCUCCCCUCUGCCAAGUUGACCAAUGCCCAGCAUGAGCCCACAGUGGCUACACCCCACUCACAUCCACAAGAACAACACAAAGGACUGUACUGUGCUCUCUGUGAACAUAGAGCCAUCUGUGCACAGAACCUGAGUACCCACCCCAGGUACUCAGGGAAAUCUGAGCCUUGAAGCCAGACACAGUGAUUGCCCAGAGACCCAGCUACAUUCCAUGCCCAUUGUGCAGUCACAGAAUUCUGACAGUCACAGCAUGAAGGGCUCCACCUGUCACAGAGAGCAGGGCAUCCACUCUCAGCCCUAUGAGGCUGCUCCAUUUGUGGAGAGAGCUGAGACCUUCCCAGACCCAGCUGCCUAUUGGUGUUCUGCCUUGGCAGUUUAAAUACAGGCACCGGUGAUACAUGAGGAGGGUGCACCUCACAGGCUUAAGUGGGUGUCCUGCCCCCUUCCAACUCUCCAGGCCAGACUCAAGGUACUUUCACCAUGAUUCAGAGGCUCAGUUGCCUUAAUUGCCACAUAUGUCCAGUAUCACGUUGUGCAUCACAGAGUCAUCAGUUCUAUUGGAUAGAACCAGAAGCCUGGGAUUGAACCCUGGGUCUACAACUUGACAUAGAGAGUGAGAAAGAUCUUCCAUCUGCUGGCCAGAAUUGGGUUGAUCCAAAACCAGAAGCCAAGAGCUCCUUCCAGGUCUCCCAUGCUGAAUCUACCAACCUCUCAAAUAGUUCAUCUGUAAGCCAGCAACAAGGAGAACUUGGAUUGUGGCCCAAAUUUCAGAGUAUUUAAAUCUCUUUCUGCACCUCCACCCUACUGAAAUGGAUCAGAGGGGUACACAUACCUUCUUUGGAGAGAACUCAUAACUUCUAGUGACUUCUGUUUUCUUAGCCACUGAUCAUUUUGUAAAAGCUUGGGAGUCAAAGAGGAGCAGUAUAUACAUACAGUAGGAAGACGUUGACAAUAAUAAAUAUUUCUAGGGAUCAAUGCAAGAGGGUAAUUGCUGACUCUUGAGUUGGAAGGAGUUUCAUGGAAAAGGCUGUUUGUGAGUCAAGAUUCAUGAUGGAGAUGAAGACAUUGAAACAAAGGGAUAAAGAACCAGCAUUUUAGGAUGUUCCCAGAGAGGCAACUAUACAGAACUUGGAGGACAUUAACUAGGAAAUUCAUGCAAAAGCAGCAAUAACAACACUGAUACUAAGGAAAAAGGGUUAGGACCUGACUAAAUUAGACUGCAUGUAAUAUAGUAAGUAAUUCCUGAUUCAUGUAUUUGCUUGAUAAUUAUAAUAAAUUACUUAGUUAAUUACUUACUUUAACAUUUUUGGAAAAAGUCUUAACUACUCAUGUUUAAAUAUAAAGACCCUAUCAUCACAGAUCCUAUUAGUUUGAUUAAAUUCAAAGCAUACAAUUAUCUGUUUUUUUCCAUUGUGUGUAGGUUUGGGAAAAAGCAACUCUAUUAUAUAACUUCAUCUUUCUCUUUGUACCUCUACUUCCUGCUUUGUCUUCUAGCAUUUUGCAAAUUUACUUUGUCAGGUGUAUUUCUUGGUUUGCUUACUCCUAACAUUUCUGCUCACCUACUUCUUCUAUACUGUAGACAUACAGUAUAAGCAAGAAUUUUGCCUUUUUAAGGGGACCUUAUAGGUUCACAUAGCCUAUGCUUCAGGUGGUUUGGAUACUUACACAAAGCACAGUGAAAAUAACAACCAUUAAGCUUGACAUGUUUCAAACACAGAUUCUUAACUUUAGA